CCUCCUACCCAGACCUUGAGGAAUUGGUUUGGGCCAUCGUUUCCUCUGAUCGGCCGAAAGCCAGGUCCUGACAGUAGCAGUUUGCCACAAAGAUUCUCCUCGAAAUAUAGCAGCCCAGCGCUUACUGAAAGAUGAAAUCUGACCCCAUUCACAGAUCGGUAACCGAACAAAAAUUUCUAUAAGGAGAUGAUCGCAAAGCUUUCAAGUAUGAUCAUUG
rnacentral:lncRNA from 1 species